rnacentral:rRNA from 1 species
AUUAACGCUAGCGGCGGGCAUAAUACAUGCAAGUUGAACGGCAGCACAGGUAGCAAUACCGGGUGGCGAGUGGCGCACGGGUGCGUAACACGUAUGCAACCUACCCUAUACAGGCGAAUAACCUUUAGAAAUGAGGGCUAAUACGCCGUGGUAUUAUCUUGGGGCAUCUUGAGAUAAUUAAAGAUUUAUCGGUAUAGGAUGGGCAUGCGUCCCAUUAGUUAGUUGGUAGGGUAACGGCCUACCAAGGCUAUGAUGGGUAGGGG